rnacentral:rRNA from 1 species
CCCUUAGAUGUUCUGGGCCGCACGCGCGCUACACUGAUGCAUUCAACGAGUCUAAAACCUGCUCUGAUAGGGGUGGGUAAUCUUUUGAAUGUGCAUCGUGAUUGGGAUAGAUGAUUGCAAAUUUUCAUCUUCAACGAGGAAUGCCUAGUAAACGCAAGUCAUCAGCUUGCAUUGAUUACGUCCCUGCCCUUUGUACACACCGCCCGUCGCUCCUACCGAUUGAAUGAUCCGAUGAAUAUCAUGGAUUGAGGAUGCAAGCAGGUUCGCCUGUCUUCAUCUUCGAGAAGUGAAGUAAAUCUUAUCAUUUAGAGGAAGGAGAAGUCGUAACA